CUACGGGAUGCAGCAGUAGGGAAUAUUGCGCAAUGGACGCAAGUCUGACGCAGCAACGCCGCGUGGGUGAUGAAGCUCCUUGGAGUGUAAAACCCUGUCAGUGGGGAAGAAACGCAAGAGAAGUAACUGUCUUUUGCCUGACGGUACCCGCAGAGGAAGUCCCGGCUAACUCCGUGCCAGCAGCCGCGGUAAUACGGGGGGGACAAGCGUUGUUCGGAUUUACUGGGCGUAAAGGGCGCGUAGGCGGGCCUUCAAGUCGGAUGUGAAAACUAGUGGCUCAACCACUAGCCUGCAUUCGAUACUGUCGGUCUUGAGUAUAGGAGAGGAAAGCGGAAUUCCAGGUGUAGCGGUGGAAUGCGUAGAUAUCUGGAAGAACACCAGUAGCGAAGGCGGCUUUCUGGCCUAAUACUGACGCUGAAGCGCGAAGGCUUGGGUAGCAAACAGGAUUAGAUACCCGCGUAGUC
rnacentral:rRNA from 1 species